AUCCCUACAAAGUUCAACUUUUAUAUAUUGUUCUUAUAAAAGUCUUAAUAUUUUCAAAUAUGUCAUCUGGUUUGUUACCGUUAAAGAACUGUUUAUUUUAUAAGUGAAAUAAUUUUUUUUACCCUAACAAAUAUGUCCCUCCAAAAGUCCUUAAUUGAAGAGGGGUAAAAAAGUCAAUUCACCUCAUUAACUAAUUAAUGUUAAAUAUUUUAUCUAUGGUUAACUUAUUUGUUCUAAGGAUCCUAAUGACAAGGUCAUAUUUGAAAACAUCAGUACUUUUGCAGAGACAACAUAUAAAAGUUGAACUUUGUAGGAAUAUAUUUGCAAUUCAUUAUGUAUUUUUAUCAAAUCUUUCGAACUAUAUUGAGAAAUUUAUUUAGUAAUUUAAAAAUUAAAGAGUUUUAAAUUGUACCAUCGAUACGUGGACUGUUUUUUGCCGAUAUCUUGCUGGCACGAUAUAGUACGGUACCAAUA
rnacentral:lncRNA from 1 species